CACGGCUCGUUGGCCGAGGCCACCUAUACUCGCAGUUCACAUGGUCUGAGCCCAGUGGUCCGGGUAAAGCGACCACCGCCAGUGAGCCCAACUGAAUUGUCCUCACCCCUCGGGGCGCCAGCGUUGGCGUGUGUCGCCGGCGAGCGCCCCCAGCUCGAUCAGCCGUCGCCCUGGGCCCUGGCGCUGCCCCCGUCGCCCCGCCUCGUGCCCCCGGUGCCAAACUUCGCUGUAUUCCACCGGAGGAGGAUCUAGGGGAGGCCACAGGGGAGGCUUCGACACCAAUAUUUAUUAGAUAGAAAACUUAUAUACAAGACAGGAGGGGAGUAUACAUCAAGAGAGGAAGGGGAAUAACAGUAUAUGAUGUAAUCAAGCCAGGUCCUGAGAUGUGCCGUAAGCACAUCUUCCAUUCUAUAAGAGAGAAGUAGAUGUCCUUUUGAAUAGAAAAGUUCAGGAAACUAAGUUAGGAUUGAUAUGGUCAAAAUGUUUGGCGUUUCUCAGGUUCCAGAUGUUUGAGGCAUUUCGCAAUGAAGACUUCCAUGAAGGGCUUGUGAAACGAGAUUGUGGCCUCUCUUAGAGAUGGUCCGAGUCUGAGCUGGUAUUUGGAGAAGCCCAAUGGAAUUCCAGCAAGAGUUGCUGAAAGGGAAACCUGCAAAGCGAUGAUCAGUGUUUAGUGGUCUCAAGGCUGCCGGAGCUGCAGAGUACAGAGUCGUAGUAGUUAGUGACAUGAAUUUGCUGUUGAUACUUUUACUUUGAAGUCCAUAUCCAGGAAAUGGAGUCAGGGGCUUGGAAAUGCUGGAAAACCAAGGCCAGAUGGCAACAUUGGGAAGUAUAGUGAUAAAGUUGAGUUCACUAGAUGGCAAAGAUAAUAUUUUGCAGUUCAUACUCCAUGAUCCCAUCCAAGAGACGACUGUCUAUGGGUGUGUUUUUCUCCCAGGUCAGUAUGCAAGCAGCAUAUCUUUGGUCUACUUAAUCCAUAAUUUGUGCAUCGCCAUCUUGCUAACGAGGGAACAAGAACUAUGUCAAAACAGGACAGAUAACCACCAUUUCUUUCAAAUUAGCUUUUAGGUUUGGCAAAUGAAAAGCUUUCCUGCCCUCGAAUAAUCCUGUGUAUGUAUGAAUAGUGCCAAGAGAAUGUCAUCAAGAUUUUUUUAUCUUGAACACACACCUAAGCGUGUGUCACCAAGAUUGAGUUUUAAACAUCAAUUGUUCUGCGAGGACAUCGACUGAUACAUGACACGGGGAAAUUGAUCUGCUGGUGCAUAAGGUAUGCGUACGACAUAAAUUGCAAGUUGAUCUUAGCUAGGCACCUGCUAUCGGCACGAACGUGCAUAAACCAUAUGCCCAUAUGGAUGUAUCAGAGUUGUGAUUGAGAUAGGCUGGGGACUCUUUUCCAAGAGUGCAUCUUUAUUAUACCUGAGUGUACGACAUAAAUUGCAAGUUGAUCUUAGCUAGGCACCUGCUAUCUGCACGAACGUGCAUAAACCAUAUGCCCAUAUGGAUGUAUCAGAGUUGUGAUUGAGAUAGGCUGGGGACUCUUU